UACGUAGGGGGCUAGCGUUGUCCGGAAUCAUUGGGCGUAAAGAGCGUGUAGGCGGCCCGGUAAGUCCGCUGUGAAAGUCGGGGGCUCAACCCUCGAAUGCCGGUGGAUACUGCCGGACUAGAGUUCGGAAGAGGCGAGUGGAAUUCCCGGUGUAGCGGUGAAAUGCGCAGAUAUCAGGAAGAACACCCGUGGCGAAGGCGGCUCUCUGGAACGCAACUGACGCUGAGACGCGAAAGCGUGGGGAGCAAACAGG
rnacentral:rRNA from 1 species